rnacentral:rRNA from 1 species
ACGUAGGCAGCUAGCGUUGUUCGGAAUUACUGGGCGUAAAGCGAGUGUAGGCGGUUUGCCAAGUCCGUUGUGAAAUCUCCCGGCUCAACUGGGAGGGUGCGGCGGAAACUGGCAGGCUAGAGUGCGGAAUGGGAGAGUGGAAUUCCUGGUGUAGCGGUGAAAUGCGUAGAUAUCAGGAGGAACACCGGUGGUGAAGACGGCUCUCUGGACCGCUACUGACGCUGAGACUCGAAAGCGUGGGGAGCAAACAGGA